rnacentral:rRNA from 1 species
UACGUAGGGUGCGAGCGUUAAUCGGAAUUACUGGGCGUAAAGCGUGCGCAGGCGGUUCGCCAAGUCAGGUGUGAAAUCCCCGGGCUUAACCUGGGAAUUGCGCUUGAAACUAGCGGGCUUGAGUGUGGCAGAGGGGGGUGGAAUUCCACGUGUAGCAGUGAAAUGCGUAGAGAUGUGGAGGAACACCGGUGGCGAAGGCGGCUCUCUGGACCGAUACUGACGCUGAGGCGCGAAAGCGUGGGGAGCAAACAGG